rnacentral:rRNA from 1 species
UACGGGGGGGGCAAGCGUUGUUCGGAAUUACUGGGCGUAAAGGGCUCGUAGGCGGCCAACUAAGUCGGACGUGAAAUCCCUCGGCUUAACCGGGGAACUGCGUCUGAUACUGGAUGGCUUGAAUCCGGGAGAGGGAUGCGGAAUUCCAGGUGUAGCGGUGAAAUGCGUAGAUAUCUGGAGGAACACCGGUGGCGAAGGCGGCAUCCUGGACCAACACUGACGCUGAGGAGCGAAAGCCAGGGGAGCAAACGGG